UCGGAAUUAGAUCAUAAGGGAAUUUCUAUCUACACUGGGACUAUAAUAUCAGAUUGGGGGGGGAGAUCGGAACUAGCAAUUGAUAAAAAAGAAAGGGUAUGGGCUCGCGUGAGUAGAAAACAAAAGAUAUCUAUUCUAGUUCUAUCAUCAGCUAUGGGUUUGAAUCUAGGAGAAAUUCUAGAUAAUGUUUCCUACCCUGAAAUUUUCUUGUCUUUCCCGAAUGCUAAGGAGAAGAAAAGGAUUGAGUCAAAAGAAAAAGCUAUUUUGGAGUUUUAUCAACAAUUUGCUUGUGUAGGUGGGGAUCUGGUAUUUUCGGAGUCCUUAUAUGAGGAAUUAAAAAAAAUAAUUCAACAAAAAUGUGAAUUAGGAAGGAUUGGUCGACGAAAUAUGAAUCGGAGACUUAAUCUUGAUAUACCUCAGAACAAUACAUUCUUGUUACCACGAGAUGUAUUGGUCAUCCGAACACGAGACGAAGUCUUCAAUCUUGUAUCUUCGAUACUUGACGAUGACGAAAUGAAUCACUUGAAAAAUAAACAUAUCCGUUCGGUUGCAGAUUUGUUACAAGAUCAAUUCGGAUUGGCUCUUGGUCGUUUACAACAUGCAGUUCAAAAAACUAUUCGUAGAGUAUUCAUACGUCAAUCGAAACCGACUCCCCAAACUUUGGUAACUCCAACUUCAACUUCAAUUUUAUUAAUAACUGUCGGCAUCCCUAAUAAUUCAGGGCCUCUAUCAUUUCAUUUCUGA
rnacentral:rRNA from 1 species